GAUGAACGCUGGCGGCGUGCCUAAUACAUGCAAGUCGAGCGAACAGACGAGGAGCUUGCUUCUCUGACGUUAGCGGCGGACGGGUGAGUAACACGUGGAUAACCUACCUAUAAGACUGGGAUAACUUCGGGAAACCGGAGCUAAUACCGGAUAAUAUAUUGAGACGCAUGGUUCAAUAGUGAAAGACGGUUUUGCUGUCACUUAUAGAUGGAUCCUCGCCGAUUUAGUUAGUUGGUAAGGUAACGGCUUACCAAGGCAACGAUGCGUAGCCGACCUGAGAGAGUGAUCGGCCACAAUGGAACUAAGACCCGGUCCAGGCUCCUGCGGGAGGCAGCAGUGGGAAUUCUGCCGGAUAGGGCGAAAGCCUAACGGGGCAACGCCGCGGUGGUGAUGAAGGUCCUCGAAUCGUAAAACUCUGUUAUUGGGAAAGAACAAAUGUAUAUGUAACUAUGCUCGUCUUGACGGUACCAAAUCAGAAAGCCACGCCUAACUGCGU
rnacentral:rRNA from 1 species